GUCAGACAUUGCUUUUCAACCAUGUUUCAACAGAAUUAUGUAAAAAAAAAAUAAACUCAUGAAACAGGCCUGGACAAAAAUGAUGGUACCCUUAACUUAAUAUUUUGGUGCACAAUCUUUUGAGGCAAUCACUGCAAUCAAACGAUUCCUGUAACAAUGAAACCUGCACCUCUCAGCAGGUAUUUCGGCCCACUCCUCAUGAGCAAACUGCUCCAGUUGUCUUCAGUUUGAAGGGUGCCUUUUCCAGACGGCAUGUUUCAGCUGCUUCCAAAGAUGCUCAAUAAGAUUUAGGUCAGGGCUAGAAGGCCACUUUAGAAUAGUCCAAUAUUUUCCUCUUAGCCAUUCUUGGGUGUUUUUAGCUGUGUGUUUUGGUCAUUGUCCUGUUGCAAGACCCAUGACCUGCGACUGAGACCAAGCUUUCUGACACUGGCCAGCACAUGGCCUCUCUCUAGAGUCCCUUAAUAGUCUUGAGACUUCAUUGUACCCUGCACAGAUUCAAGUCACCCUGUGCUAGAUGCAGCAAAGCAGCUCCAGAACAUAACAGAGCCUCCUCCAUGUUUCACAGUAGGGAAGGUGUUCUUUUCUUGAUACGCUUCAUUUUUCCAUCUGUGAACAUAGAGCUGAUGUGCCUUGGCAAAAAGUUCCAUUUUUGUCUCAUCUGUCCAUUCUCCCAGAAGCUUUGUGGCUUGUCAACAUGUAGUUUGACAAAUUCCAAUCUGGCUUUUUUAUUAUUUGUUUUCAACAAUGGUGUCCUCCUUGGUUAUCUCCCAUUAAGUCCACUUUGGCUCAAACAACGACGGAUGGAGCGAUCUGACACUGAUGUUCCCUGAGCUUGAAGUUCGGCUUUAAUCUCUUUAGAGGUUUUUCUGGGCUCUUUUGUUACUAUUCAUAUUAUCCAUCUAUUUGAUUUGUCAUCAAUUUUCCUCCUUCGGCCAUGUCCAGGGAGGUUGGUUACAGUCCCAUGGAUCUUAAAUUUCUGAAUAAUAUGUGCAACUGUAGUCACAGGAACAUCAAGCUGCUUGGAGAUGAGCCUUUACCUUUAACAUGCUUGUCUAUAAUUUUCUUUCUAAUCUCCUGAGACAACUCUUUACUUUGCUUCUUCUGGUCCAUGUUGAGUGUGGUACACGCCAUGUCACCAAAGAGCACAGUGACCUGUAGCCCUCUAUAUAGGCCCACUGACUGAGUACAACAUUGUAGACACCUGUGAUGCUAAUUAGUGGACACACCUUGGAUUAACAUGUCCCUUUGGUCACAUUAUUUUCACUCAUGUCUAAGGGCACCAUCAUUUUUGACAAGGCC
ensembl:lncRNA